AGAUUGAACGCUGGCGGCGUGCCUAACACAUGCAAGUCGAGCGGUAACAGGUGUAGCAAUACAUGCUGACGAGCGGCGAACGGGUGAGUAAUGCUUUGGAAUCUUCCCAGUAGUGGGGAAUAACCAGUCGAAAGAUUGGCUAAUACCGCAUACGUCUGUAAAGGGAAAGCGGGGGCUCGUAAGACCUCGCGCUAUUGGAUGAGCCAAAGUCGGAUUAGCUAGUUGGUGGGGUAACGGCCUACCAAGGCGACAAUCCGUAGCUGGUCUGAGAGGACGACCAGCCACACCGGAACUGAGACACGGUCCGGACUCCUACGGGAGGCAGCAGUGGGGAAUAUUGGACAAUGGGGGAAACCCUGAUCCAGCGACGCCGCGUGUGUGAAGAAGGCCUGCGGGUUGUAAAGCACUUUUAGUGGGGACAAAAAGCUACGGAUUAAUACUCUGUGGUCUUGAUUUAACCCAAGAAAAGCACCGGCUAACUCUGUGCCAGCAGCCGC
rnacentral:rRNA from 1 species